rnacentral:rRNA from 1 species
UACGGGUGGGGCAAGCGUUGUUCGGAAUUACUGGGCGUAAAGGGCUCGUAGGCGGCCAACUAAGUCGGAUGUGAAAUCCCCAGGCUUAACCUGGGAACUGCAUCCGAUACUGGAUGGCUUGAAUCCGGGAGAGGGAUGCAGAAUUCCAGGUGUAGCGGUGAAAUGCGUAGAUAUCUGGAGGAAUACCGGUGGCGAAGGCGGCAUCCUGGACCGGCAUUGACGCUGAUGAGCGAAAGCUAGGGGAGCAAACGGG